UAUGACGCACUUUCCCUAGUACGAAAGGACCGAGAAAGUGAGGCCAAUACCACAAGCACGCCUCCCACUCUAAAUAGUGAACCCAACUUAACUAUCAAGAGACCGCCACACCACCACGUACCAUCCAAGAAAAGGAUUA
rnacentral:rRNA from 1 species